GUGACGGUGACGGAGAUCGAUCGGAGGAAUUAGAGGGAAUGUAGGUUAAGGCUUUUCCGGUGGAAGUCCUGCAAGAAGCUACAAAGAUCUCGUAAGCAGUUUCACGGAGGUCAGUAGUGGAGAGUGACGGAGUAAGGUCAGGGAAUGGUGAUGGAAGUGGAGAUAAAGCAGAGCUGGAAGUUGAGAAGCGAGAGCUACUGGUGGCGCCACUGCCCAAAGACAUGGUGGACACGGCGGCGGCGGCGGUGGAGUCUCGCCGUGAAUAGCCUAAAGUACGGUCUCUGAAGAGAGACGCCAUUGUUAGAGAGAGAAAAG
rnacentral:misc_RNA from 1 species